UACAUGGGGUGCAAACGUUGCUCGGAAUUAUUGGGCGUAAAGCGCACGUAGGCGGUUUGUUAAGUCGGAUGUGAAAUCCCUCGGCUCAACUGAGGAAGUGCAUCCGAAACUGGCAGGCUUGAGUACUAAAGAGGGUCGCGGAAUUCCCGGUGUAGAGGUGAAAUUCGUAGAUAUCGGGAGGAACACCGGGUGGCGAAGGCGGCGACCUGGGUAGAUACUGACGCUGAGGUGCGAAAGCGUGGGGAGCAACAGGGAUU
rnacentral:rRNA from 1 species